UACGGAGGGAGCUAGCGUUGUUCGGAAUUACUGGGCGUAAAGCGCACGUAGGCGGCUUUGUAAGUUAGAGGUGAAAGCCCAGGGCUCAACCCUGGAAUUGCCUUUAAGACUGCAUCGCUUGAACAUCGGAGAGGUAAGUGGAAUUCCGAGUGUAGAGGUGAAAUUCGUAGAUAUUCGGAAGAACACCAGUGGCGAAGGCGACCACCUGGACUGAUACUGACACUGAGGUGCGAAAGCGUGGGGAGCAAACAGG
rnacentral:rRNA from 1 species